rnacentral:pre_miRNA from 1 species
UUGAAGAAUUUGAAGACUUCAACUUGCAUACCUGCAGGAUUUAAAAACUUCUACAUACAUACUUCAAGAAUUUGAAAACUUCAACU